rnacentral:rRNA from 1 species
GAUGAACGCUGGCGGCGUGCCUAAUACAUGCAAGUCGAGCGAACAGAUGAGGAGCUUGCUCCUCUGACGUUAGCGGCGGACGGGUGAGUAACACGUGGAUAACCUACCUAUAAGACUGGGAUAACUUCGGGAAACCGGAGCUAAUACCGGAUAAUAUAUUGAACCGCAUGGUUCAAUAGUGAAAGACGGUUUUGCUGUCACUUAUAGAUGGAUCCGCGCCGCAUUAGCUAGUUGGUAGGGUAACGGCUUACCAAGGCAACGAUGCGUAGCCGACCUGAGAGGGUGGUCGGCCACACGGAAACUGCGACACGGCCCAGACUCCUCCGGGAGGCAGCAGGGGGGAACCUUCGCAAAUGGGCGAAAGCCUGACGGAGCACCGCCGCGUGGGUGAUAAAGUUCUUCGGAUCAUAACACUCUUUUAUGGGGAAAAAAAAAUUGUAAAAGAAUCAACCCCCGUCUUGACGGUACCUAAUAAAAAAGCCCCGACUAACUCCGCC